AGAAACGACGGGGGCCAACGGAUCGUUCUUCAAGUCCUACUGUCCUAGGCCCCGACUGCUCGCUCCUACCUCUCAAUCGAUUCCUUUCGGACUUUCCCGGAAAACCUCGGGAAAAUGCUGGAAAUUUUGCGAUCAUGAGUCCUUCGGAAACAAAAAUGAGGGGAUCUUUACGUGUAGAUGACGCGAAUGUUCCGUCCACCUCAGGUCCACAGAUACUCGCUCCUCAGGCUGCGCCGAGCCACCCGAAUUCCAAGCACAGUUUUGCCUGUGGUGGCAAUGUUUUUAGACUCUUGGCACGGAGAGAGGUUUCACCUAGAACGAAGCACUCAUCAAAACGGUUAUGGGGAGCUUCUAAACCGGGACUUGAUUCCUUUGGGUCAAGGAGUGCAGUGCAAGAUGCAAGAAGAGGUCUUGUAUCAUGGGUAGAGGCAGAAACGUUGCGGCAUUUUUCAGCCAAAUAUUGUCCACUAUUGCCUCCUCCAAGGUCGACUAUUGCAGCAGCCUUCAGCCCUGAUGGAAGAACAGUUGCCUCUACACAUGGAGACCAUACCGUAAAGAUUAUCGACUGCCAAACUGGGAGUUGCUUAAAGGUUUUGAGUGGUCACCGAAGGACCCCUUGGGUGGUUAGGUUUCAUCCAUUAUAUCCUGAAAUACUUGCAAGUGGAAGUUUGGAUCAUGAAGUUCGUUUAUGGGAUGCAUAUACUGCACAGUGUAUAGGAUCACGCGAUUUUUGUCGUCCUAUUGCUUCUAUUGCGUUCCAUGCACAGGGGGAGCUUCUUGCUGUGGCUUCAGGUCACAAACUAUACAUGUGGCAUUACAACAGGAGAGAUGAGACAUCCUCGCCAGCCAUUGUACUGAGAACACGCCGGUCACUGCGGGCUGUGCAUUUUCACCCACAUGCAGCCCCAUUUCUUUUAACUGCUGAGGUCAAUGACCUUGACUCAUCAGAUUCCUCAAUGACACUUGCAACUUCACCAGGUUACUUGCACUAUCCUCCACCCACUGUGUUCUUGGCCGACGCUCAUUCCAGUGGUCUUCCUUGUUUGGCAGAUGAACUUCCUCUCAUGUCUUUACCCUUUCUGAUGUGGCCUUCAUUUGCUAGAGAUGAUGGGAGAACAUCUUUGCAGCCUACUCAUGGGGAUGCAGGUUUGAGUACUGUGCAACCGAGAGUGGAUCCUUCUGCUUCAAUGCGGCUUCUGACAUAUUCCACUUCUUCAGGGCAGUAUGAACUUUUAUUGUCUCCAAUUGAUCCUCAUAGUUCAUCUCCUGUGCCAGAGGAUAUGGGGAAUGAUUUUAUAACGAGUGAAAUGGGUAACACGAUUUAUCAAUCUGCUGUGGAUACCAUGGAGACUAUGGAAGUGCAUCCCGAAGAGAGAAAUACUCGCUUUUUCCCUUUUGGUGAUCCAACGUAUUGGGAGCUACCCUUCUUGCAAGGGUGGUUAAUUGGCCAGAGCCAAGCUGCACAACGCUCCAUGAAUUCUGUCAAUGGUUCAGCCCACGAGAAUUCAUCAGCAUUUAAUGAAAUGGAAAAUCUUGCGGCUUCUUCAGUUGUGCCUACUGUUGUUGGCCAAUAUAGGGCUACCGGAAGGUCCAGCUCGCGACAGCGUUCUUCACGUUUUCGCAUGAGGUCCAGGACCGUAUCUGGUGACGGUGCUGCUUUCAAUCAUGUUUCACGUGAUGAAGGUGAUCCUCGAGUUGCUGUAAGUAGAAUCCAAUCUGAACUUGCAACCUCAUUGGCUGCGGCGGCUGCUGGGGAGUUACCGUGCAGUGUCAAGCUAAGAUUAUGGGCACAUGACAUAAAAGAUCCAUGUGCUGUUCUUGAUGCAGAAAAGUGCCGCCUAACUAUACCCCACGCUGUACUUUGUAGUGAAAUGGGGGCUCAUUUUUCACCUUGCGGGAGAUUUUUAGCAGCUUGUGUGGCAUGCGUGCUGCCUCAUCUAGAAGCUGAUCCAGGAUUGCAAGGGGUUCACCAUGACAUCCCAGGGGCUGCAACCUCCCCGACUCGGCACCCAAUUUCUGCUCACCAAGUUCUGUAUGAGCUUCGGAUAUAUUCCCUUGAGGAGGCAACAUUUGGCUCGGUCCUUGCAUCACGGGCAAUACGGGCUGCUCACUGUUUAACCUCAAUUCAGUUCUCUCCUACAUCGGAGCACUUGUUACUUGCUUAUGGUCGACGCCAUAGUUCACUUCUUAAGAGUGUUGUCAUUGAUGGGGAGACAACAGUGCCUAUUUACACAAUUCUGGAGGUUUACAGAGUUUCUGAUAUGGAACUUGUGAGAGUUCUUCCUAGUGCUGAGGAUGAGGUCAAUGUAGCCUGCUUUCAUCCAUCAGUUGGAUGUGGCCUUGUCUAUGGGACUAAGGAAGGGAAACUUAGGAUCCUACAUUAUGAUAGUUCUCAUGCCACGACUUGUGCGGCAUCUCAUUUGCUUGAUGAAAACAUGCACGAGGUCCCAACAUAUGCUUUAGAAUGCUAAUAGCUAGUGAUCAUUACCUACAUUGAUGUGUACAACUCCACUGGAAUGGACAAUUUUUACGGACAUGGAUUCAGCUGAGUUUGGAAGAUCCACUACUGAUUUAUUUGGAAGCACUUCAUUACAUUUGCAUGCAUGGCUACCCACCGCUUAUGAUUUGGUGAGACAACAUACCCCAUGUAAUUUAUACAGGGGCAAGAAGUAUUGUUUCAUUAAUGGAUUGCUGAGUCUGAGACAGCAUAUCUAUUUGGCCAUUCAGUCCUUGUGGAAUCCAUUCAGGACGGAGUAGGGACUAGCAAAGAUGAUAUUGCACACUACUCAUUUUUACAACACGAUCGUGUAAAAUUCAACAUUCAAUUCAUACAAAAUAUAGUGUAUUUGAUGAAGUGCCUGUGGUAGGGUUCUUUGCAACAUAUUGGUAAUAAUUAUAAUCUCACAUCCUAUUCAUGCAUGGACUGUGGAAGACUAUAAAGAAUCUUUCCAAAAUAAAAAGAGCUGGAAGCUUUUCUCGUGA